AUUAUGUAUAACCCGAUCAAAAAACACACAAACAGACGUCUCUCUCAUCAUCCUCCACCUGGGUUUAGGGUUUCAAUUAGAGUAUUUCGAUCGAUCUGAAACCCUAAUUCACCAUCCAAAAUGUCUCAAACUGGAAAAUUAAUGCACAAUCUGGACCAAAACAGCACGAAGAUCCUCAAUCUCACUGUCCUCAAGAGGAUGGAUCCGUACAUCGAGUAGAUCUUAAUCACCGCUGCUCACGUCACAUUCUACGAGUUCAACGUCGACCUCAAUCAAUGGUCUAUGCUCGUUCGUGGAAUGACCUGUACCGUUUCGACGCGAACCGCUUAGACGCGAACCGUUUCGACACGAACCGUUUCGACCAAUACCAUUUCGAACCGACGCGAACCAUUUCGACCCGUACUGUUUCGAACCGACGCGAACCAUUUCGACGCGAACCAUUUUGACCCGUACCGUUUCGAAUCGAAAUGAAAUGUGCAAGAACUUUCCUUGCGUUAUUGAAAGACUGCACAUGCAGAUAAGAACACAUCAAGAUGGUGCCAGUGGCAAUUAUUUUUUCAUUCUUUAUAUAUUUGUAGUUAUUUUUUCAACUUUAAGUUAGAAUCCCACUUUUCCUUUAGCAAAUUACGAGUGUUUCCUGGUAAAAAUGCAGCCUUCUCUUAACCAAAGUAAUUCUUUCAAAAAUCCUUACUUUGUUUUUUUCGCUUUAGUUUGUGUUUAUUUGAUUUGUGUGGGAUUGUUGUGACCAGAGCAGCAAAUUAUGGACCAAAAAACAUGGCUUUGGAAGAAAAGAUAUGCCAAGAAGUCAAUCGACGCAAACAGUGAAUCUGAAAAUGAGGCAGAGGGUAUUCUAGUAGCUAAUUUACUUCAUUUGAUUAAAAAUAUUUUGUUUCGAUUAGUUUCUGUUGAUUUUAGUGAAAUCAGUUUCGGUGAUUGUUUCAGCGGAUUGUGAAUUCAGUUGAUUGUUUCGAUUAGUUUUAGUUUUUUUUAAGAACAAAAUCAGAACAUCGAUAUCAGAUCUGUUUCGUGUAUGUUUAAAUCGGCUGAAAGAAUAUUUUGAAUCGAUGAUCAGAUCUGAACUAGUUUCAGUUUGAUGAUUAAGAUCUGAGUUUGGUUCGAAGAAGGAACUAAAUCAAAGAAAAUCUAGUUAUACACGCGCAUCACGGCUUAUUUUGUCCAAAGGAAAGAAUAGUGAAUCUGUUGAAGGGAUUACUGGCAGCUUGUCACUACAUUUAGUGCGGAAAAUGUGUACUACGUUACAAGCAAACGAUUCGGUAGUAUGCAAACCACCACCACCGCCGGUUCAGAUGAACCGUUGAAGCUCGCUCUAGCAAUGGCUCUUCUUCGUUCUAAGCUCGUGAACAAAACUUCUGAAACUUCUCAUCCUCCAUCUGAUACCUCCAGUUCUGCAGCUCUCAAAUGGAAACGCAAGGUACAUCCUCUCAUCUCUUCCCAUUCACAACGUAUGGAUCUUGCAGAAACCGUCAGCUGAAUCGAAAUUAGCUUCGAUGAACGAUUUGAACAAACCUUCAGUUGAAUCGAAAUUAUCUUCGAAUUAGGUCAAAGUGACGUCACUGAGUUGUUAUUGACUUAUUGCAUAGUUUGUGAUGAUCCUGUGAACAUUUAGGGCUUCUGUUUGUAUUUAUAAGUUAUAAUAUCUUCCUCUUGCAAAAACUAUCAGGUGAAUCUGAAUUAGCUUCAAGUUAGGUUAAAGUUACAUCACUGAGUUGUUGUUGUUAUUGACUUAUUGUGAAGUGAAUGGUCAUUUCACGACUAAACAACAAGACGAAUACGAAUAGAGGCCCAAAUGUAUUUGUUUAUUGGUGAUGUGUACAACCUGUUUGAUAAAAUGUUUGUGUAAAACUUUGAUAUUUUGUUAGUUUCUUUUUAACUUAAAAAAUAUUAAGGAAAAGUGUAUGGGUUGGGCGAUGGUAGUGACCCGUGUUUGCAUAGCAAAGGAAAGAAGCCUUGAUCCCAAGACUAGCUGUGUCUUUUUCGACUAGUGAGUUGUUGCCUAGCCUUGGUCACUGAACUCAGAAGACCCUGAGAUUGAAAAGUUGAACUUAGUUAUCAAGGAGCUCGUUAAGGAGAAAGAUGAAGAAAAAGAAAGGUUUAAUAGAAUUAUUGCGGGAUUGUUGGCUGAAAAAGAAAAAAAGAUAAGGUGGAUAAAGAUGCUAUGCUUGAUAUGAUGUCACAAAUUGAAGCUAUGUUAAUAGCUACAGUUCGAAGAUAGGUUAUAAAACACUUGGUUUUGAAUGUUUAGAUGUUUAUCUUAUUAGUGCAAUUUUAGUUAUUUUAUGUUUUA